rnacentral:tRNA from 1 species
UGGGGGAUGGUGUAACAGGUAGCACAUGUGGUUUUGGUCCAUACAGUCCGGGUUCGAGUCCUGGUCCCCCAG